rnacentral:lncRNA from 1 species
CAGCUCCCAGCUUCAAUGCACUGGCAGCAAUAACAAUCCAAAAGCAAUUCAGGUUGGAUUUUACAAGCCUUUAAACACAUUAUCUCUGAUUCCAGUCAAAUCAUCACUCCUGGAUGAUAUUCCUAUAAGACACGGGGUGGAAUUCCAGUUUUGGGAGGCAGGAUGGCAGCAGGAAUGGACCCAGCAGGGUAUUUUGACAGGAGGUCAGGAGGAGAGGACUGAGACUGAGGAGGCCUCGAUGCUCUGCUGGGUUCCCCCAUCCCCAAACCAGACAUCCCAGACCAGGCUGGGAGAGCAAUUCCAAGGCUCCCCAGUGACCCUGGGCCAAAGAAGGCUCCAUGUGCUCAAACAUGGUGAAAUUGGAGCAGGGGAUGGAUUUGGAGAGGAAUGAAAGAUUUGAAAGAGAACAUUUAGCAUUUGAUGGGAGAUAAAAGACAGCACUCACCUCUACUGGGGAGUUUCAUUCGAUUUAAACUGGUUUUUCUGGGAUAUCAGCAGGAAUUCUGGGCUCAUGGACCAUGGGGCACUCCCCA